CUUCUCACCAAGCAACUUCCAAAAUGUGGAGUGGAGCACUGGCCCACCCUACUCUCCAGGUGCUCCACCCCAGGGCCCAAAUAUACACAUAUUUAAAGUGCAACAUUCAUUAGAACAUAACACAUUUACCUGGGGCUAAUUACACAAAGUAAGAACCUUGCAAAAUCUGGGGAGGUAUAUAGGUUCCUUCCAGCACAAUUCCUUGCUUUCU